ensembl:lncRNA MALAT1 metastasis associated lung adenocarcinoma transcript 1
CAGCCAGCGCAGGGGCUUCUGCUGAGGGGGCAGGCGGAGCUUGAGGAAACCGCAGAUAAGUUUUUUUCUCUUUGAAAGAUAGAGAUUAAUACAACUACUUAAAAAAUAUAGUCAAUAGGUUACUAAGAUAUUGCUUAGCGUUAAGUUUUUAACGUAAUUUUAAUAGCUUAAGAUUUUAAGAGAAAAUAUGAAGACUUAGAAGAGUAGCAUGAGGAAGGAAAAGAUAAAAGGUUUCUAAAACAUGACGGAGGUUGAGAUGAAGCUUCUUCAUGGAGUAAAAAAUGUAUUUAAAAGAAAAUUGAGAGAAAGGACUACAGAGCCCCGAAUUAAUACCAAUAGAAGGGCAAUGCUUUUAGAUUAAAAUGAAGGUGACUUAAACAGCUUAAAGUUUAGUUUAAAAGUUGUAGGUGAUUAAAAUAAUUUGAAGGCGAUCUUUUAAAAAGAGAUUAAACCGAAGGUGAUUAAAAGACCUUGAAAUCCAUGACGCAGGGAGAAUUGCGUCAUUUAAAGCCUAGUUAACGCAUUUACUAAACGCAGACGAAAAUGGAAAGAUUAAUUGGGAGUGGUAGGAUGAAACAAUUUGGAGAAGAUAGAAGUUUGAAGUGGAAAACUGGAAGACAGAAGUACGGGAAGGCGAAGAAAAGAAUAGAGAAGAUAGGGAAAUUAGAAGAUAAAAACAUACUUUUAGAAGAAAAAAGAUAAAUUUAAACCUGAAAAGUAGGAAGCAGAAGAAAAAAGACAAGCUAGGAAACAAAAAGCUAAGGGCAAAAUGUACAAACUUAGAAGAAAAUUGGAAGAUAGAAACAAGAUAGAAAAUGAAAAUAUUGUCAAGAGUUUCAGAUAGAAAAUGAAAAACAAGCUAAGACAAGUAUUGGAGAAGUAUAGAAGAUAGAAAAAUAUAAAGCCAAAAAUUGGAUAAAAUAGCACUGAAAAAAUGAGGAAAUUAUUGGUAACCAAUUUAUUUUAAAAGCCCAUCAAUUUAAUUUCUGGUGGUGCAGAAGUUAGAAGGUAAAGCUUGAGAAGAUGAGGGUGUUUACGUAGACCAGAACCAAUUUAGAAGAAUACUUGAAGCUAGAAGGGGAAGUUGGUUAAAAAUCACAUCAAAAAGCUACUAAAAGGACUGGUGUAAUUUAAAAAAAACUAAGGCAGAAGGCUUUUGGAAGAGUUAGAAGAAUUUGGAAGGCCUUAAAUAUAGUAGCUUAGUUUGAAAAAUGUGAAGGACUUUCGUAACGGAAGUAAUUCAAGAUCAAGAGUAAUUACCAACUUAAUGUUUUUGCAUUGGACUUUGAGUUAAGAUUAUUUUUUAAAUCCUGAGGACUAGCAUUAAUUGACAGCUGACCCAGGUGCUACACAGAAGUGGAUUCAGUGAAUCUAGGAAGACAGCAGCAGACAGGAUUCCAGGAACCAGUGUUUGAUGAAGCUAGGACUGAGGAGCAAGCGAGCAAGCAGCAGUUCGUGGUGAAGAUAGGAAAAGAGUCCAGGAGCCAGUGCGAUUUGGUGAAGGAAGCUAGGAAGAAGGAAGGAGCGCUAACGAUUUGGUGGUGAAGCUAGGAAAAAGGAUUCCAGGAAGGAGCGAGUGCAAUUUGGUGAUGAAGGUAGCAGGCGGCUUGGCUUGGCAACCACACGGAGGAGGCGAGCAGGCGUUGUGCGUAGAGGAUCCUAGACCAGCAUGCCAGUGUGCCAAGGCCACAGGGAAAGCGAGUGGUUGGUAAAAAUCCGUGAGGUCGGCAAUAUGUUGUUUUUCUGGAACUUACUUAUGGUUUCUCUUUUUCAGGCUUAUACUCAUGAAUCUUGUCUGAAGCUUUUGAGGGCAGACUGCCAAGUCCUGGAGAAAUAGUAGAUGGCAAGUUUGUGGGUUUUUUUUUUUUACACGAAUUUGAGGAAAACCAAAUGAAUUUGAUAGCCAAAUUGAGACAAUUUCAGCAAAUCUGUAAGCAGUUUGUAUGUUUAGUUGGGGUAAUGAAGUAUUUCAGUUUUGUGAAUAGAUGACCUGUUUUUACUUCCUCACCCUGAAUUCGUUUUGUAAAUGUAGAGUUUGGAUGUGUAACUGAGGCGGGGGGGAGUUUUCAGUAUUUUUUUUUGUGGGGGUGGGGGCAAAAUAUGUUUUCAGUUCUUUUUCCCUUAGGUCUGUCUAGAAUCCUAAAGGCAAAUGACUCAAGGUGUAACAGAAAACAAGAAAAUCCAAUAUCAGGAUAAUCAGACCACCACAGGUUUACAGUUUAUAGAAACUAGAGCAGUUCUCACGUUGAGGUCUGUGGAAGAGAUGUCCAUUGGAGAAAUGGCUGGUAGUUACUCUUUUUUCCCCCCACCCCCUUAAUCAGACUUUAAAAGUGCUUAACCCCUUAAACUUGUUAUUUUUUACUUGAAGCAUUUUGGGAUGGUCUUAACAGGGAAGAGAGAGGGUGGGGGAGAAAAUGUUUUUUUCUAAGAUUUUCCACAGAUGCUAUAGUACUAUUGACAAACUGGGUUAGAGAAGGAGUGUACCGCUGUGCUGUUGGCACGAACACCUUCAGGGACUGGAGCUGCUUUUAUCCUUGGAAGAGUAUUCCCAGUUGAAGCUGAAAAGUACAGCACAGUGCAGCUUUGGUUCAUAUUCAGUCAUCUCAGGAGAACUUCAGAAGAGCUUGAGUAGGCCAAAUGUUGAAGUUAAGUUUUCCAAUAAUGUGACUUCUUAAAAGUUUUAUUAAAGGGGAGGGGCAAAUAUUGGCAAUUAGUUGGCAGUGGCCUGUUACGGUUGGGAUUGGUGGGGUGGGUUUAGGUAAUUGUUUAGUUUAUGAUUGCAGAUAAACUCAUGCCAGAGAACUUAAAGUCUUAGAAUGGAAAAAGUAAAGAAAUAUCAACUUCCAAGUUGGCAAGUAACUCCCAAUGAUUUAGUUUUUUUCCCCCCAGUUUGAAUUGGGAAGCUGGGGGAAGUUAAAUAUGAGCCACUGGGUGUACCAGUGCAUUAAUUUGGGCAAGGAAAGUGUCAUAAUUUGAUACUGUAUCUGUUUUCCUUCAAAGUAUAGAGCUUUUGGGGAAGGAAAGUAUUGAACUGGGGGUUGGUCUGGCCUACUGGGCUGACAUUAACUACAAUUAUGGGAAAUGCAAAAGUUGUUUGGAUAUGGUAGUGUGUGGUUCUCUUUUGGAAUUUUUUUCAGGUGAUUUAAUAAUAAUUUAAAACUACUAUAGAAACUGCAGAGCAAAGGAAGUGGCUUAAUGAUCCUGAAGGGAUUUCUUCUGAUGGUAGCUUUUGUAUUAUCAAACUUUUUUCAGAUAACAUCUUCUGAGUCAUAACCAGCCUGGCAGUAUGAUGGCCUAGAUGCAGAGAAAACAGCUCCUUGGUGAAUUGAUAAGUAAAGGCAGAAAAGAUUAUAUGUCAUACCUCCAUUGGGGAAUAAGCAUAACCCUGAGAUUCUUACUACUGAUGAGAACAUUAUCUGCAUAUGCCAAAAAAUUUUAAGCAAAUGAAAGCUACCAAUUUAAAGUUACGGAAUCUACCAUUUUAAAGUUAAUUGCUUGUCAAGCUAUAACCACAAAAAUAAUGAAUUGAUGAGAAAUACAAUGAAGAGGCAAUGUCCAUCUCAAAAUACUGCUUUUACAAAAGCAGAAUAAAAGCGAAAAGAAAUGAAAAUGUUACACUACAUUAAUCCUGGAAUAAAAGAAGCCGAAAUAAAUGAGAGAUGAGUUGGGAUCAAGUGGAUUGAGGAGGCUGUGCUGUGUGCCAAUGUUUCGUUUGCCUCAGACAGGUAUCUCUUCGUUAUCAGAAGAGUUGCUUCAUUUCAUCUGGGAGCAGAAAACAGCAGGCAGCUGUUAACAGAUAAGUUUAACUUGCAUCUGCAGUAUUGCAUGUUAGGGAUAAGUGCUUAUUUUUAAGAGCUGUGGAGUUCUUAAAUAUCAACCAUGGCACUUUCUCCUGACCCCUUCCCUAGGGGAUUUCAGGAUUGAGAAAUUUUUCCAUCGAGCCUUUUUAAAAUUGUAGGACUUGUUCCUGUGGGCUUCAGUGAUGGGAUAGUACACUUCACUCAGAGGCAUUUGCAUCUUUAAAUAAUUUCUUAAAAGCCUCUAAAGUGAUCAGUGCCUUGAUGCCAACUAAGGAAAUUUGUUUAGCAUUGAAUCUCUGAAGGCUCUAUGAAAGGAAUAGCAUGAUGUGCUGUUAGAAUCAGAUGUUACUGCUAAAAUUUACAUGUUGUGAUGUAAAUUGUGUAGAAAA